UCUUCUGUUGCCAUCGGGUUAUGCCGGGCACUCUGAAGAGACUGCCGGUGACAAACCGGAGGAAGGUGGGGAUGACGUCAAGUCAGCAUGGCCUUUAUGUCUGGGGCCACACACGUGCUACAAUGGCCGGUACGAACCGUCGCGAUCUCGCGAGAGGGAGCUAAUCGGAGAAAGCCGGUCUCAGUUCGGAUUGUAGCCUCUAUUCUCGGCUGCAUGAAGUUGGAAUCGCUAGUAAUCGCGGAUCAGCACGCCGCGGUGAAUACGUUCCCGGGCCUGGCUUCCACCCGUCACAUCACGAAAGCCGGCUGUACUUGACCCUCUCACUAACCCGCAAGGGGGGCAAGCGCCUAAGGUACGGUCGGUG
rnacentral:rRNA from 1 species